CGCUUAGCCAGGGCCGGCCCCGCGCGCGCUGCCGUUACCGCCUCGCGCCCCCCCUCCCUUUAUGGCCGCCCCUCACCCGCCCCCCUCACGCCCUUUCCCCUCACGGCCUCGGCCAUGGCCGGGCCCUCCCGGAGAACGGCAGCGGCGCCGGGAAGAGGAGGAAGAGGAGGAGGAGGAGCCGCACGGAUUGAAGAGCUCGAGCUCCAAGAGACGCAAUAAGCGAUUGUGCUUUGAGUCUUGGCAGCGCCAAAUCCGUGAGCAGAGGCUGGUGCAAACAGCAGAGUGCAGGGCUACACCUCUUUAACUCCUCUCAGGUUAUGUUAAUUGUGGAUCGCACCAUCUCAUCAAGAAAGAGGGCCUGAGCUCAGGACCUGCGUUUUCCUGUGACCUUGGGAAAGCAGUUCCCUUUACACAGCUGUGUUUUGACUGUUGUUAAAAUGGAAAUAAAGAUACCUUUUCUCUUUUCAA